AACAUCAGAUGAUGAAUUCUCAGUUAUUAUCUUAUGACACCUUCUGACACAGUGUAAAAACUGUGUAUGAGAUUAAUCUCGAUUUCUGAUGAUGUU